CCUACGGGGGGCAGCAGUGAGGAAUAUUGGUCAAUGGACGAGAGUCUGAACCAGCCAAGUAGCGUGAAGGAUGACUGCCCUAUGGGUUGUAAACUUCUUUUAUAUGGGAAUAAAACGUUCCACGUGUGGGAUUUUGUAUGUACCAUAUGAAUAAGGAUCGGCUAACUCCGUGCCAGCAGCCGCGGUAAUACGGAGGAUCCGAGCGUUAUCCGGAUUUAUUGGGUUUAACGGGAGCGUAGGUGGAUUGUUAAGUCAGUUGUGAAAGUUUGCGGCUCAACCGUAAAAUUGCAGUUGAAACUGGCAGUCUUGAGUACAGUAGAGGUGGGCGGAAUUCGUGGUGUAGCGGUGAAAUGCUUAGAUAUCACGAAGAACUCCGAUUGCGAAGGCAGUUCACUGGACUGCAACUGACACUGAGGCUCGAAAGUGUGGGUAUCAAACAGGAUUAGAUACCCCAGUAGUC
rnacentral:rRNA from 1 species